UAGUCCACGCUGUAAACGAUGUCGAUUUGGAGGUUGUGCCCUUGAGGCGUGGCUUCCGGAGCUAACGCGUUAAAUCGACCGCCUGGGGAGUACGGCCGCAAGGUUAAAACUCAAAUGAAUUGACGGGGGCCCGCACAAGCGGUGGAGCAUGUGGUUUAAUUCGAUGCAACGCGAAGAACCUUACCUACUCUUGACAUCCAGAGAACUUAGCAGAGAUGCUUUGGUGCCUUCGGGAACUCUGAGACAGGUGCUGCAUGGCUGUCGUCAGCUCGUGUUGUGAAAUGUUGGGUUAAGUCCCGCAACGAGCGCAACCCUUAUCCUUUGUUGCCAGCGGUUCGGCCGGGAACUCAAAGGAGACUGCCAGUGAUAAACUGGAGGAAGGUGGGGAUGACGUCAAGUCAUCAUGGCCCUUACGAGUAGGGCUACACACGUGCUACAAUGGCAUAUACAAAGAGAAGCGACCUCGCGAGAGCAAGCGGACCUCAUAAAGUAUGUCGUAGUCCGGAUUGGAGUCUGCAACUCGACUCCAUGAAGUCGGAAUCGCUAGUAAUCGUAGAUCAGAAUGCUACGGUGAAUACGUUCCCGGGCCUUGUACACACCGCCCGUCACACCAUGGGAGUGGGUUGCAAAAGAAGUAGGUAGCUUAACCUUCGGGAGGGCGCUUACCACUUUGUGAUUCAUGACUGGG
rnacentral:rRNA from 1 species